rnacentral:snoRNA from 1 species
GGGCCAAUGAUGAUAACUUUUUCAGACAUACCAUCUUUCGGGACUGAUUGGUAUUUCAGUGCCAUGCUGUUAUUCUGUGAUUCUGAGGUCU